rnacentral:rRNA from 1 species
UACGUAGGGUCCGAGCGUUGUCCGGAAUUACUGGGCGUAAAGAGCUCGUAGGUGGUUUGUCGCGUUGUUCGUGAAAACUCACAGCUCAACUGUGGGCGUGCGGGCGAUACGGGCAGACUAGAGUACAGCAGGGGAGACUGGAAUUCCUGGUGUAGCGGUGGAAUGCGCAGAUAUCAGGAGGAACACCGGUGGCGAAGGCGGGUCUCUGGGCAGUAACUGACGCUGAGGAGCGAAAGCGUGGGGAGCGAACAGG